UCUCAGAACGUUUCCAUGAUUUUACUGAUCUCCUCCUUUGGCAUAAAUCUUCAGGGCAAACAGCUAUACAACUGACCUGAGCAUUUAAUUCUACAAUAUCAGGGAGAACACUGGUGUGAUACAAUCAUUCCUACUAAGCAAUCAGAAACCAAUGGGCUAUCUUACAGGACACCCUGGCUAGACAUCUAAGGCUGUCUUCUAUGCCAUCGGCUUCCUUCCAUUUGGGAUCCCAUGUCUCUAGUGAUUCCAGUAUAAAUUACCUGUGUAAAAUGGGGAAAGUUUAUUAAGUUGGAAAGCCUGCCUGAUGGCAGUGAUUCUUGGCUGCGUAUUAGCUUUUAAAAUUCCUGAUACCUUGACCAAUUAAAAAACCAG